rnacentral:rRNA from 1 species
UACGGAGGAUGCAAGCGUUAUCCGGAAUGAUUGGGCGUAAAGCGUCCGCAGGUGGCUAUGUAAGUCUGCUGUUAAAGAGUGAGGCUCAACCUCAUAAAAGCAGUGGAAACUACAUAGCUAGAGUACGGUCGGGGCAGAGGGAAUUCCUGGUGUAGCGGUGAAAUGCGUAGAGAUCAGGAAGAACACCAGUGGCGAAGGCGCUCUGCUAGGCCGUAACUGACACUGAGGGACGAAAGCUAGGGGAGCGAAUGGG